GAUCCAGCAACGCCGCGUGGAGGACGAAGGUCUUCGGAUCGUAAACUCCUGUCAGGUGGGGCGAAGGCUGCGGGGCAAAUAGUCCUGCAGCUUGACGGUACCACCAGAGGAAGCCCCGGCUAACUCCGUGCCAGCAGCCGCGGUAAUACGGAGGGGGCGAGCGUUAUUCGGAAUUAUUGGGCGUAAAGGGCGCGUAGGCGGCUCGAUAAGUCAAAGGUGAAAUCCCUCGGCUCAACUGAGGAACUGCCUUUGAUACUGUAGAGCUUGAGUCCGGGAGGGGGUAGCGGAAUUCCCAGUGUAGCGGUGAAAUGCGUAGAUAUUGGGAGGAACACCAGUGGCGAAGGCGGCUACCUGGACCGGAACUGACGCUGAGGCGCGAAAGCGUGGGUAGCAAACAGGAUUAGAUACCCUGGUAGUCCACGCUGUAAACGAUGGGUGCUCGGUGUCGCGGGUAUCGACCCCUGCGGUGCCUUAGCUAACGCGUUAAGCACCCCGCCUGGGGAGUACGGUCGCAAGGCUG
rnacentral:rRNA from 1 species